ensembl:lncRNA
CUAGCAGUUAAGAUAAGUUACGAGCUUAAUAAAUAAACAGCAUGUGUUCAUGGGGAACAUGAUCUAACACCGGCCCUAAGUCUUUUCUGAGCAAGAUGAACUGGCAAGCUGGAUGACCACCAGCCACACGGGUUUAUUUUACGGUUCAGCCUGAGAUAUUGUCUGCUGACAGCCGUGGGCAUGGUCUAAAUCACCCCUUCCCCCCGGCCAGUCACAAUCGGCAGUCAUCUCACAAAAUAAUGAGUCUGCCAGGACAGAGAAUCCCAGAAGAUCUCGAAGGAAUCCACUUCUUGAAUUUCAUUUCUAACUUUUCCUUCCCCUUGAAGUGUUUCAAACCCCAGUAGCCCUCCUCACAAGACAGUGACGCGAAGUCACAGCAGGAGAAAAACAUCAGCAGAAGCACCGUGACCAGCUGCCAUCGGCCGAGGAGGGACGCUCAAGGGGGCAGCAGGGCUGCCGCGUGAGCCUCCCGACCGCGUUCUGGGGCCAAGAGACAGAAGGCACAGAGGGAAAAUACUUGGAAAUUUAUGACAAAACUGUGGCUGGAA